rnacentral:piRNA from 1 species
UAUUAGGUAUUCAAACCCGGGUCCUCCAGC